rfam:Schistosoma rodhaini strain Burundi genome assembly, scaffold: SROB_scaffold0004786
GACAGUGGGGCUUAGUCGGUAGGGCGUGUGACUCUUAAUUUCAGGGUCGUGGGUUCGAGCCCCACGUCA